UAAGUGCGGCACUCGAUACCUCUGGUAUACCUAUUCAUUACUUGUGCGCGGACGGUGCACGCCUAAUAAUUUUUCCAUUCGCACGCAUCUAGGUCGAAUUCCCCCGCCCGAUCCUCCCAUUCGCGAAGCCAGGACCGGACGCCCCCCUUCUCCUCUCUCGGUUUUCUUGCGUGAAGCCCAGGCCGAGCCCCUCUCCCUUCUCCGGCCUACUCUCUCUCUACCGUCGAUUUCGCCCCAAGGAAGCCAGCCGAUCUCCACUGCAGCAGCAGUCGCUCGCUGAUUUGACCUAGCCGCUGGUCAUUUUUGCUAUAGGCAAAAAAUGAGGAGAGAUUAUUACGUGCAGAGUGGUCACAAUUUUUUUGUUCGGAUGCCAAUCAUGUGAAUUUUCUCCCUCUUGUACAUAUCCUACAUACAAAAGAGAACAAAAUCUACGUGUUCGCGUGAUUGGCGUCUCCGCACUCCGCAUCUAAUAAUUUUUCCAUCGUGAGAGGGAAAAAUUGUUAAAAAUUUUAUUUGGAAAAUAAUCCCAAUGAUCUAUGAAUCAUAAUUAAGGGUAUCUUAAUUUAGCACUUUUGUUGUAGUUUUCUGUUUUUGGCUUCUCCUUUCUAGCAGGACUACAAGCAUUCUCUCUUUUUUGAGCCUUGAUAGCUGCCAGUUAUUGUAUAGCUCCUAUUUUCUAUAAAAGUAGUAAAAUAAUUGGUGUUUUUCUUUCCUUAGACGUUACUGCAGAACCUAGAUGUUUUUAAGAUAAUAGCAGCGUCGUAACAUAGUAGUCUUCUGAAGACAUCAGAAGGUAACAUCAAUGACUAUUCAGCAAAAUUCAGGGCUCUCAAGGUAGUCUCCGGUUUUAUGAAAAGUAAAUAAAUGAAUAAAAGCUAGAAGAACUGCAGCUUUUGACGUGCUGGAGCUUGGUUGGAGGAGAUGAAUUUGAGAGACAGCUUGAUAAGGACAAAUCCGCUCCUAAACAAACUCCACAAAAGAGAGAACCCUAUUUACAAAUAAAUGGUGGAUAAUUACAAAUUAAUCAAUUAUGACCCUGAAUUUUAUCCUAAUACAGAUUUUAAUACAACAAUACAGAUUCCUUGCUUCUUAAUCUUGAUCAUCUAGCCUCUUUUCGAUAGCUUAUCUUUGCUAGAGGACUCUUAACAAUGCUUUUUUUGUUCUUAACAGGUGAUUUAAGAGUAAUUACCUUCGAAUCUCUCCUUCCAGAAAUUAUACGGCAGAAAUUAGAAAAUUGUGAAUCAUUAUCUCCUGAGGUAUAUCACCUCUCGACUCUUGAAGGAGAAGCAACCCUUUGUUACUCAAAUGUGCAUAAGGCUAUCCUUUUGUAUUAUCAAUUAUCAUACUUUCUUUUUAAUUAAUGAUGCCUGGAUUAACAGUGUUUUCUUCAGUGAGAUUUUGGAUGCUAUGUUUACUUUCUCAUUCAAUCUUGCAAAGGCCAUCUCCAGCAGAAUGCUAAAUCAACGUUUGUCGUCUGUGAGCUGCUCCAUCCGAAUGCGAAAACCUGCAUCAUUAUCACAACGACGUGAACAAUGUGAGGGCAAUAUUGGCAUUGCAUUGUUCACAAAUGCCCUUUUUUGAUGUUAUGAAAUGGAGUUCGGUUGGUGAUGAAUUAUUGCAUUUUGGAUUGUUACUACAUUUUGGAGUGAAAAAUGAGUUUUUCAGUUGGGGAUGCCCUAAUAGAAUAAAAUUGGCGAUAUUAUUAUCAAGGGGUGUGGUCGCUUUCUAACCCUUCCACUCUAUUGUAAGCUUCUUGCACUGACAUUAUUAAUGGAAUCCCCAAUGUUUUAGAGGUGA